AACGAACGCUGGCGGCGUGCCUAAUACAUGCAAGUAGAACGCUGACGCGAGGAGCUUGCUCUCCUUGGAUGAGUUGCGAACGGGUGAGUAACGCGUAGGUAACAUGCCUUGUAGCGGGGGGUGAUUAUUGGAAACGAUAUCUAAUACCGCAUAACAAUGGAUGCCACAUUUCAUUUAUUUGAAAGGGGCAAUUGCUCCACUACAAGAUGGACCUGAGUUGGAUUAGCUAGGAGGUGAGGUAAUGGCCCACGCAGGCGUCGAUACGUAGCCGACCUGAGAGGGAGAUCUGCCAAACUGGGACGGGGACACGGGCCAGAACCCUACGGGGGGGAGCAGGAGGGGAUCUUCGGCAAAGGGGGCAAACCUGACUGAGGAACGCCGGGUGAGUGAAAGAGGUUGUCGGGGCGGAAAAGUCUGUUUGAAGUCAAGAACGGGUAGGAGGGUGAAAAGUUCACACUAUGACGGUAGCUUAAGAAUAAGCAACGGCUAACUACGUG
rnacentral:rRNA from 1 species